rnacentral:rRNA from 1 species
GUAAAGGGUGCGUAGGCGGCCUGUUAAGUAAGUGGUUAAAUUGUUGGGCUCAACCCAAUCCAGCCACUUAAACUGGCAGGCUAGAGUAUUGGAGAGGCAAGUGGAAUUCCAUGUGUAGCGGUAAAAUGCGUAGAUAUAUGGAGGAACACCAGUGGCGAAGGCGGCUUGCUAGCCAAAGACUGACGCUCAUGCACGAAAGCGUGGGGAGCAAAUAGGAUUAGAUACCCUAGUAGUCCACGCCGUAAACGAUGAAUACUAAGUAUUGGGGAAACUCAGUGCUGCAGCUAACGCAAUAAGUAUUCCGCCUGUGGAGUAUGCACGCAAGUGUGAAACAUAAAGGAAUUGACGGGGGCCCGCACAAGCGGUGGAGUAUGUGGUUUAAUUCGACGCAACGCGAAGAACCUUACCAGGCCUUAACAUCCCUUGCAAAGCUGUAGAGAUA